rnacentral:rRNA from 1 species
AUACGGAGGAUGCAAGCGUUAUCCGGAUUUAUUGGGUUUAAAGGGUCCGUAGGCGGAUGAUUAAGCGUGAGGUGAAAUGCCACUGCUCAACAGUGGAACUGCCUCGCGAACUGGUUGUCUUGAAUGCUCCUGCCGUGGGAGGAAUGUGUGGUGUAGCGGUGAAAUGCAUAGAGAUCACACAGAACACCGAUUGCGAAGGCAUCUCACGAAGGGGUGAUUGACGCUGAGGCACGAAAGCGUGGGGAUCAAACAGGAUUAGAUACCCUGGUAGUCCACGCAGUAAACGAUGAUAACUAACCGCUGGGUCGUAGUGAUUCAGUGGCCAAGCGAAAGCGAUAAGUUAUCCACCUGGGGAGUACGACCGCAAGGUUGAAACUCAAAGGAAUUGACGGGG